rfam:Ornithorhynchus anatinus chromosome 4, whole genome shotgun sequence.
CUCCACUCAGGAUUGCACUUGGAGAGUUUCCAGUACUCUACCAGUCUUGGCUAUGGGAGGGAGAGUCAAGCAGAGGCCUACCCAUUCCAUUCCUAGCUUGGGCAGUGGCUAGCGAGUGGAAGGCAAUCCUCUACAAGU